UACGGAGGGUGCAAGCGUUAAUCGGAAUUACUGGGCGUAAAGCGCACGUAGGUGGUUUGUUAAGCCAGCUGUGAAAUCCCCGGGCUCAACCUGGGCACUGCAGUUGGAACUGGCAAGCUAGAGUAUAGUAGGGGUAAAGGGAAUUUCCAGUGGAGCGGUGAAAUGCGUAGAGAUUGGAAAGAACACCGAUGGCGAAGGCACUUUACUGGGCUAUUACUAACACUCAGAGACGAAAGCUAGGGUAGCAAAUGGG
rnacentral:rRNA from 1 species